UAGGGAAUCUUCCGCAAUGGACGCAAGUCUGACGGAGCAACGCCGCGUGAGUGAAGAAGGAUUUCGGUUCGUAAAACUCUGUUGUUAGAGAAGAACAGCGCAUAGAGUAACUGUUAUGCGUGUGACGGUAUCUAACCAGAAAGCCACGGCUAACUACGUGCCAGCAGCCGCGGUAAUACGUAGGUGGCAAGCGUUGUCCGGAUUUAUUGGGCGUAAAGCGAGCGCAGGCGGUCAAUUAAGUCUGAUGUGAAAGCCCCCGGCUCAACCGGGGAGGGUCAUUGGAAACUGGUUGACUUGAGUGCAGAAGAGGAGAGUGGAAUUCCAUGUGUAGCGGUGAAAUGCGUAGAUAUAUGGAGGAACACCAGUGGCGAAGGAGACUCUCUGGUCUGUAACUGACGCUGAGGCUCGAAAGCGUGGGUAGCAAACAGG
rnacentral:rRNA from 1 species